AGAACACCCUUUCAGUCAGCAUGACUGGAACUUUGAUCAACAAAUCCCCAAGAGCCACAACCCGUCUUUUGUGAACAAGUAGUAUCAAGGUGGGGGUGGGCUUGGAGUGCACUGGAUGCUUUUCUUCUUUCAUCAUGAAACCUGGUGGUUUUGUGUCAUGUGAUAUGUUUUUCAGAGAUUCGGCAGGAAGCUUGCACCGAGUGAAGGAUUUAUAAAGAUUAUAGGAGAUAACACAAAGCUAUUUUAUCUCUUUAAAAAAAAUCAAAGGUAUUAAAUUUUUUUCUACUUCAUUUUUGUUUCCUCAUUUAAAAAUUAGCUGCCACAAAUAUUAUCCCCCAUCUGGGCACAAGGUCAGUUGGCAUACAAUUUUCUUCUUAAUUUUCAUUUUCUGGAUUCCUUGAUGACCUGAUUUUGUACAAAUUCAUGCUGCAGAGAUAAGGAUUGAUUGGCUACAAAUCAAGGAUCUCUGCAGAAUGGGAAUGAGAGACAAAGGAAGAGGAAGAGGACGGACACCACAAACCAUCUUAUCUUUUCAAAAUGUGAUUGGUGCAUUUCCAACAUUGGCUUACCUUUCCUUAUGCUGUCCAUAAAUUUUGUGCAGGUGUAAGCUCAUCCUACACAUGUCAUUUGGACCAGACCAAGGCUGCUGUCAUGGAGGACCCACACCACAGCUUGGGAACCAUUCAUCUACCAGAGGGUCACAUGACUUCAAAUGACUCUUCUAGGGGCCACCUGCCAUGAUAGGGUACCAGCUCUUCCUCUGAAUUCCCAAUCCAUUUCUUGAGAACUACUGUUUCUAAUAAGGUACUGUUUCUAAUACCUUUCCAACAAUGGUUUAUUCAUUUAUCCAUACAUUUAAAAUACAGAUUUUUUUUAGCAUCUGCCAUGUUUAAGAUCCUCCUCUAGCACUAGGAAUACAUUAUUGAAUAGAACAAAGUCCCUGAUUUCAUGGUGUUUACAUUUCAAGGGAGAACUAUUCCUUCUUAGAACAGAACACCGUACAAAGUUGUAACAUAGUAAGUGAAAGUGCUCUGGCCAAGGCUGAGACCACAGUCUACCACGAGCUCCUUGCAUUGUGAAGAAUGAAUAUUUCUUAAGCACUUAACUGUGUGCCAGGCAUUGUGUAAAGUCCUAAUAUACAUUUGCUUCCUCAUCGGGUGGGAAGUUGAGCAGGAGGCUUUCUAAAGUGUCUAUUAAAACCCAAGUUAUUUGGUUGGCCACUUUAGUCUGUGGUGGAUUAUCUGCACAUUUUUGCCUAGAGAUCACUUAAUCUGUGGCAUAGAAAAACUAUAUUCAAUUGGCCGUGUGUAGUGGCUUAACGCCUGUAAUCCCAGCACAUUGGGAGGCCGAGGCAGGUGGAUCACGAGGUCAGGAGUUUGAGACUAGCCUGGCCAACAUGGUGAAACCCCGCCUCUACUAAAAAUACAAAAAUUAGUGGAGUGCGGUGGUAGGUGCCUAUAAUCCCAGCUACUUGGGAGGCUGAGGCAGGAGAAUCACUGGAACCCGGGAGACGGAGGUUGCAGUGAGUGGAGAUCGUGCCACUGCACUCUAGCCUGGGCAACAGAGUAAGACUCCGUCUCAAAAAGAAAAGAAAAGAAAAGAAAAGAAAAGAAAAGAAAAGAAAAGAAAAGAAAAAAAAGAAAAGAAAAGAAAAGAAAAGAAACGAACAACUCUAUAUUCAAUAGAUCUCUUGAAAUAACUUGAAUUUGGUGGGGGAUGAGGAGGGGUUUCUAAUAAGACAUGUAAUGUAGUAGAAAGAUCUAGGCCUACGUUCAAAUCUCAUUUUUUCCACUAACUGGAACUUCUUUAGUAAGUUGGGGUUAAUUCAUUUCUCCCAGUAUUAUUGUAAGGAUUACAUUGAUUUUUAUUUUACAAAUUUUUAUGAGGUCCCUGUGGUGUACUAGGCACUGACCUUGCUACUGACGAUAUAACAACAAUCAUCAAGACAUAUAAAAGUCACUGCUCCAUGAGGUGAUCUAACACCUCGCCCUUUUGCUUCCUUUGUCUUCCUUUUUUUAGAGGGGAAGAAGGUCAUGUGGGAAUCAGUUAAAUCACGUGUGGAUAGAAGACAAGUUCCAGCUUUGUGGGAAAUCCUGUAGCCUUCGCCAGGUACACCCUGACAAUCUCAGAACUGAUCAG
rnacentral:lncRNA from 1 species